AGUGAACGCUGGCGGCGUGCCUAACACAUGCAAGUCGAGCGAAGUGGCAGCUGUAGCAAUACAGUAUGUGCUUAGCGGCAGACGGGUGAGUAAUACGUAAAUAACCUUCCUUUUAGAGGGGGAUAGCUAGCCGAAAGGUUAGGUAAUACCCCGUACGAUUCGUUAGAGGUAUCUUUAAUGAAUGAAACAUCCGCAAGGAUGGCUGAAAGAUGGGGUUUGCGGCCUAUCAGCUAGUUGGUGAGGUAAUGGCUCACCAAGGCUACGACGGGUAACCGGCCUGAAAGGGCGACCGGUCACACUGACACUGAGACACGGGUCAGACACCUACGGGUGGCAGCAGUGAGGAAUCUUGGACAAUGGGGGAAACCCUGAUCCAGCGACGCCGCGUGAAGGAUGAAGGUCUUCGGAUUGUAAACUUCUUUUCUUUGGGACUAAGAAAUCUAUAGAAAUAUAGGGAGCGAAUGUACAGAGGAAUAGCCACGGCUAACUUCGUGCCAGCCGCCGCAGUAA
rnacentral:rRNA from 1 species